CCCCUCUCAGGAUCACACCUGGAGAGUUUCCAGUCCUCUACCAGUCUCGACUAUGGGAGGGAGAGUCCAGCAGAGGCCUACCCACUCCAUUCCGAGCUUGGCCUGUGGCUAGGGAGUGGCAGGCAAUCUGCUACAAAU
rnacentral:snoRNA from 1 species